UGUUGCUAUCAUGACUGAAUUUUAUCUGCCUAAAAUAUUGUAAAACCAUAUCUAAUAAAAUAUGAAGCUGUGUGUGUGUUUUGUGAUUUUGAUAAAGGAUUGAUGCUGUGCUUAUAUAUUUUGCUAUCAUUGGACUUGAUGUUACAAGGAGCAGCUAGAAAUUGUGAUUUGCUUUGCCAGCACAGACAUAUAUAGACAGAAUUAUAAUACAUUACGUACAGCACACAUGCGAUACGGAACAAGGAUGUUAAAAAGAGACUGUGAUUAUUACUAAUACAAAUGUUAGGUGAAGUGGGAAAGCAGGAAUAAACUGCAUACAAAACAAAUAUAAAAUAGUUAGAAAAAUAGAAAUUUGAAAGUGGAUAAUUGUGCAUCAUCCCACAAUAAUAAUUGGGAAAUAGGCAAUAAUAAUUAUUAUAUGUGUCAAAUAUGUGUCAAAAGAUAAAUUUAAUUAGUGAAUACAAGACAGUUGUUUAGAUGACAAUCACUUGAUGUUAAGCAGUGUAUCAACAAACUAGUGAAGAACAUCUUAUCCCAGCUAUUUUUAUGAUAGACAAAUUAAGACUUUGUAAGAUGACAAUAUUGAAUCCUUCUCUAAGUGGAUGCUGUCUGUUAGCAGUCAGUGUGUUGACAGUACUUGCGGGUCCAGUAACAUACAUAGACC